AGUGAUGACGAGUCCCACAAUAGAACGAAACGGCCGUCCAGUGU
rnacentral:hammerhead_ribozyme from 1 species